rnacentral:rRNA from 1 species
UACAGAAUAUGUUUUGAGAUUACUACAAUCUCCACUGAAUUUGGAAGCUGAGCAGGGUUGGAUCUGGUCAAUACUUGGAUGGGAUACCUCCGGGGAAUAUCAGAUGCUUUAC